CGUUAGGGGAUAUACCUCAUAUAAAAGGUGUUUCAUCCGAUCACUUAUCUAUCUACUUUCAUCUCUCAAAGCAACACUAAUCGCAGGAUGUAACCACGGGGCAUUGUUGAGCCAUGCAUCCACAGAAGGGUGACCUGCAGCAAGAUGGCACCACCGUAUGGCCCAGCUGUGUGUUCCCAGUAUGGGGCAGCUAACUCAGCAACAGUUA
rnacentral:lncRNA from 1 species